rnacentral:lncRNA from 1 species
AACUGGUGACUUGCCCAGGUCACACUACUGGUGGGUAGCAAAACAGCAGCUAGAAUCUAUAGCUUCUGGCUUUCCAGCCAGUCCUUGUUCCACUACAUUCAUUACUUCUUUGCUGGACUGAAAAGCUUAGGACUUUUCCUGUAAGUAAUACGGAGCCAUUGAAGAUCUGAAGUUUCAAGGAAGUGGUAGGAUGGAUUCUCUUUUACUAUAAGAUGAGGAUGAGGAAGCGGAGGAUCAGAGCUUACGUGAUUGGCUCAGUAUCACACAGUACCACACAAUAAACGAUGAGGAGAUUCUGGCUCACAGAGGUGAAGUGAUCUGCUCAAGAUGAAAUAGCCAGCUGGUGAAAUUACUGAGACAAGCACUCAGGUCCGUGGAGAUUUUGUGCAGGGUUAUUUCAAAUCCCCCACAUUAGUUCCAUGCCUCAUUCUUAUUUCUUUAUUUCUGCUAUUUUUUCCCCUUCACUUGAUGUCAUAGUUUCCUAUUGACGCUGUAACAAAUUACCACAAACUUGGUGGCUUACAACAACACACAUUUGUUCUCUUACAGUUCUGGAGGUCACAGGUCUGAAAUCAGUGUCCCUGGGCUGAAAUCAAGGUGUUGGAAGGGCCGCACUCUCUGCAGAGGCUCCUGGGGAGACUCAAUUUCCUUGCCUUUUCCAGUGUCUAGAGAUGCAUUCCUUGUAUUCCUUGGGUCAUGGCCCCUUCCUCCAUCUUCACAGCCAGCAGCGUAGCAUCUCUUUCUCUGAUUCAGCACCCAUGGCUGCUUUGGAGCAGUCUAAUCUCCCUCUCUGCUUCUUUCCACACAUUGCCUUCUUUUCUGUCUGUGUCAAAUCUC